AUGUUUGUUUGUCUUUGUCCUAUUCAAUUUUUGGGCAGAUGUCCAGCUCUUAUCUGUUGUAUCACCAUGUUCUCUAAAAACACUGAAGCAUUGUUCUUUCAAAACAAGGAUUUUUUUUUCUUCAAGCCUAAGACCAUUUUUUUUUCCCAAAAAAAAAUAUCUACAGCUUCCGAAUUGCUUCUGAACAAAUCUACUAACAUUGUUUAUAACUCUUUAUGCAUUUUGAAUUCAACACAUACAUCUCAUUCACACAAGGUCCACAGGAAUUCUGAUUAGUGGUUAGUUGUUUAGAUAAAGUCACACACUCUCUCUCAGCUCAUGAAACAUUCUCACCCAGUUGUCCCAAAACAAGUUCAAAGCAAGGAUUUAAGUUCCAGGUGAAAGACAGAACCCCAAUAUUAUAUAUAUAUAUAUAUAUAUAUAUAUAUAUAUAUAUAUAUAUACACACACACAUUUACAUCAUCAUUUUCUUUCCUUCUUUUUUUUUUCAUAUUAGAUUCACAUUACAUUUUUAAAACUUCACUAGUUCACAGCGGCUUUCAUUGACCUUGGCUGUCCACUGGAAUUCCAUUAUCUUUCUCUGGGCAUUUCGCCUGAGUUUAACCAGAAUGACAGGGAAGAAACAUUCUAACAGACUUAUUGUUUUUACCUUGGACUGUCUGCCAAGAUUUUCCCACUAUCUUUUUUUGGCAUGAGGCCCAGGUGCAAAGGGAAACUUUUUAAGAAAACAGCCUUUGUUCCUCAGAAAUAACAAGGAAAACUUUCUGAGCCUCAACACCACUUUAACAGCCUCCCUCCCUUUUUCUCGCCUCUCUGCAGCUUGUCAGCAAAAGCAAACUAACACAGACCCUCUUCGAAUCAGAUUUUUUCAACCGUAAUAAAACAUUUCUAGAUAUUUGUGCUCAACAUUUUUUGUGUAAAUCUAUAGACUCAUUUUUCAUUUUCACUUCAAUAUUACCACGAAACAUGCAGAACUUGAAACUCAUUAUUCCCCACACAUGACAAAGAAAUCAAACAGUUUUUUUUUUUCUUUUCCUUUUCCCGGGAGUUGCGACUCCUCAUGAGCCCUGCACGACUUGGUCUUGGGGCACCCUCACAAGUCUUGUUCUCUGGGGAAUUCCUUCUACGGCUCUACUUGCAACUGAGCCGAAAUUGUCUAACAUACACUGUAAUGGGGUGGUGGAUUUGAACCCACUGCCUCCCAUCCUGCCUAAUAGAGGGGACUGCCUUGGACUGGGCACCUGGACACUCAACGGUGUGUGUCAGGAAUCACAAGACAGAACCCCUUUAUACCUCCCUGGGAACCUUUGUGUGUCCCUCCCGGCGCUGGUAACUGUGUUCCCUUAGUGUCUCAUUUAACCACUAUACUUGCCAGAUUUCUGUAGACGUCGGACCAACCUUCGCCCCUGGACUUUUCCCUGGAUCCUUUUCCUCCUGGCUGGUUUCUUUGGAACCUCGCUGUCUUUGCGGCUCCCACCGUCAGCCGGCGUUGGCAUCAGAGGCAAGUACCGCAGCCGGUCUUACAAUAUUCAGGGGCCCCUUCUCGUCUCACGGUAGUUGCCUCUGGCCCCCACCGCCGAGUUGGGACCGUCCCGCCAACGGGAUCCGUCUCCGAUCUCCUGGCCCGUCUUAUUGUGGAAUCACGUCGGGGUCACCAGAAAAUGUAGCGGAAGCCAGAUUUCCCCCCUUCCCGGCUUCUUCGUGUGUCUGUGCGGACGCAGUGGAAGUAGGAGACAGACAACUGGAGUUUUUUCCAAAGAAAGCAGUUUACUAAAGUUCCUGCAGCUGCAGAGGUUCAUCCCACGCACAACUAGAUGCUGAAAAGGGAGAACCCCGCAGACAGGGUCAAGUGUCUAUUUAUACAAUUCAGUGGGUUCAGUUUACGACCGCUCACAUAUCAAACCAUUGGUGCAUAUUUGUGGUGCAGUAUUACAUUUCAUUACUUUCGUUUCUCUCAAAACACAUGAUUUCAGGGAAAUCAUGUGAUAACCCAUCGGCUGUGUUCCUGGCCUGCUCGUACCUCCUUAUAUGGCCAUUUCCUCCUACCCCUUCAUUCCUGCCUUAAAACCAUCCCACAUUUGCUGUAGACACUGAAGGAAACAUUAGCAAUUAGGGUGUUCCCUUGGCAAGAAACAGUCGAUGUCUGGAGUUUAGAGGCAAGAUCGGGAAGGUUUUUUUAAUUCAAAUUUAUUUAUGAACUGCUUGCCAAGCCGGUGCAUAAUGAAGCCUGGGGCAAACGAGGCUUCCAAACCAGGUUAUGAUAAUUUCUGAAUUGCAGCAAUGUUGCUGUAACCUCCCCACCCCACACUCCAAUCUUCGGAAUUUCCUUUCUGUAAGAGGAUGAAUAGGAAACUUUACCAUGUUUUCAUACAGAAUGUAAGACAUUUCUGUGUUU
ensembl:lncRNA